rnacentral:lncRNA from 1 species
UCCCACAACGUCGACAAAUUUACUUGGCGCUCUCACACACGUCGCGCUACAAUGAAUACUGGCUCCUCUGACAUGACUGUCAACGUCGUCACCACCGUCAAAGUCCAGAUCGGCUGACAAUAAAUCAAAGUGACCCCUUCUUAUGUUUCUGAAUUGCUGAUCGAGGAUGAUAGUCAACAAUUGCGGGGGGCGUGAUUGUGAAUGGGCGCGGUGUAAAUUGAUGAAGUGCGAAUCUUUUUCGAUGAUCGAUUUCCAGCCUUUACGGACGGACUUGAACCGCAUAAGUGAC